GCUGGAGAGAAUGAGCUUGGAGCCGCAGGGCUUAAUCCCGCGCGGCUCAGAGAUGGGUUUCUGGACUCGCGAAGCAGCUGCAACAAGGCAUCACUCACUGUAUAAGUAUUUCCAUUUCUGAGAGCAAAAGGAAGAACUUAAGCGGGCGGCACUUGGAGUGUAAAUUGCUUUGUAGUAUUUAAAGGCAGAAUGGAUCCUGGGCAGCCGAGCUGCAACAAACCGGCAGGACUUCCUGUGAAAUCAUGACCACCAUGUGCUCUUUCAGCCUCUAUCAGUUCCUACCUCUAAGCACCUGAGAGCCAAAGCAAACCACAGGAAACCACAGACUCAAACUAAACGUCAGCUUUUCCCGGCUCUCAAGCCUGCUGGUCCCUGAACUAAAACUCACAUUAUCAACUCUACUGGUUCUUAGGCCUUUGGAGUCAGACUGGAACUACAGCAUUGACUCUUCCGGAACUCCAGCUUACUGACUACAGAUCUUGGAACUUUUCAGCUUCCACAACCAUAAUGAAAGCCAAGCAUAUUCCAUCAUUUCCUAAAACCAAGAUAGAGCACAUAUGGGAACUUGUGAAAUAAG
rnacentral:lncRNA from 1 species